rnacentral:rRNA from 1 species
CCUACGGGGGGCAGCAGUGGGGAAUAUUGCACAAUGGGGGAAACCCUGAUCCAGCGACGCCGCGUGAGUGAAGAAGUAUUUCGGUAUGUAAAGCUCUGUCAGCAGGGAAGAAAGAAAUGACGGUACCUGACCAAGAAGCCCCGGCUAACUACGUGCCAGCAGCCGCGGUAAUACGUAGGGGGCAAGCGUUAUCCGGAAUUACUGGGUGUAAAGGGAGCGUAGACGGUUAAGUAAGUCUGGAGUGAAAGGCCGGGGCCCAACCCCGGGACUGCUCUGGAAACUAUUGAACUUGAGUGCAGGGGAGGUAAGCGGAAUUCCUAGUGUAGCGGUGAAAUGCGUAGAUAUUAGGAGGAACACCAGUGGCGAAGGCGGCUUACUGGACUGUAACUGACGUUGAGGCUCGAAAGCGUGGGGAGCAAACAGGAUUAGAUACCCUGGUAGUC